rnacentral:rRNA from 1 species
UUCCGGUUGAUCCUGCCAGACCUGACUGCUAUCGGAUUGAUACUAAGCCAUGCGAGUCUUUGUAGUAAUACAAGGCAUACGGCUCAGUAACGCGUAGUCAACCUACCCUAUGGACAAGAAUAAUCUCGGGAAACUGAGCAUAAUUCUUGAUAGAUCAUAAUGCCUGGAAUGGUUUAUGGUUAAAAUGAUUCGUCGCCAUAGGAUGGGACUGCGGCCUAUCAGCUUGUUGGUGAGGUAAUGGCCCACCAAGGCGAUUACAGGUACGGGCUCUGAGAGGAGAAGCCCGGAGAUGGGUACUGAGACAAGGACCCAGGCCCUAUGGGGCGCAGCAGGCGAGAAAACUUUGCAAUGUGCGAAAGCACGACAAGGUUAGUCCGAGUGAUUUCUGCUAAAGAGAUCUUUUGCUAGUUAUAAAACCACUAGUGAAUAAGGGGUGGGCAAGUUCUGGUGUCAGCCGCCGCGGUAAAACCAGCACCUCAAGUGGUCAGGAUGAUUAUUGGGCCUAAAGCAUCCGUAGCCGGCUCUGUAAGUUUUCGGUUAAAUCUAUGCGCUCAACGUAUGGGCUGCCGAAAAUACUGUAGAGAUAGGGAGUGGGAGAGGUAGACGGUACUCGGUAGGAAGGGGUAAAAUCCUUUGAUCUAUCGAUGACCACCUGUGGCGAAGGCGGUCUACCAGAACACGUUCGACGGUGAGGGAUGAAAGCUGGGGGAGCAAACCGGAUUAGAUACCCGGGUAGUCCCAGCUGUAAACGAUGCAGACUCGAUGAUGCAUUGGCAUAUAGCCAGUGCAGUGUCGCAGGG